rnacentral:tRNA from 2 species
GUCCCUAUAGCUCAAUGGAUAGAGUAGUGGUUUGCGGAACCACUGAUGGAAGUUCGACUCUUCCUGGGGACACAA